rnacentral:snoRNA from 1 species
CGAGCAUGAUGAUGAUGAACACAAGUUUUUCCGAUUACUGGCAUGAACGGAAUAUUAAACCUCCUACUCAUUCUGA